rnacentral:rRNA from 1 species
UACGUAGGGGGCAAGCGUUGUCCGGAUUUAUUGGGCGUAAAGAGCGUGUAGGCGGCUAGGUAGGUCCGUUGUGAAAACUCGAGGCUCAACCUCGAGACGUCGAUGGAAACCAUCUAGCUAGAGUCCGGAAGAGGAGAGUGGAAUUCCUGGUGUAGCGGUGAAAUGCGCAGAUAUCAGGAAGAACACCAAUGGCGAAGGCAGCUCUCUGGGACGGUACUGACACUGAGACGCGAAAGCGUGGGGAGCGAACAGG